rnacentral:lncRNA from 1 species
AGAUAAUCAACAGAAAUCAAGGCUGGAAACAGGAGAACCCAAUCUGAAGGCCUGUGCAUGAGGCAUUACCAUCCACGAGCUGCCUAGUGAUUGACACGCCUCCACGUGAUCAGCCAUGGCAAUAGAUUCUUCUAUUCUGAAUACCGCAAUGCACCGUCGAGUUUUAAGGAACCAGCAUCAAGAAGAGCUGACAAUCAUCAGCUGGCAGCUCUCUUCAGGGAUUGCUCCCAGCUGAAGAGAUCUCCCCAUGCUCACGUGCUUCCUGGGGCAACCUGCAUCCAGUGACUCCCCCAUGCACAGAUAUGAAGACCAGGCACGUUCACUCCAGCCCAGGAAAACUCUGAACACUAAACUCAGUUACAGCUAAAUUGUUUCUUGACGCUGCAUUGCAGCCUAACUUUACCCUCUGCUCAAUCCUACUUCUUUUUCUUAUCCCACAGGUGUUAUUUAUUCCCAAAAGCGUUCCUUAAUCACCUUCCUGAAUGCUUCCUUGCCAUCCCAGAGUCAGCUUCCUGAAAACGUCAGUCUGCAAUUGCUUCCAAUUCAAUUUCCCAGCUAAACUUCGAGUGUAUCCGGUUAGCCCCAAAUCCACUUCCAUCUCCCCGGUGCAUCACAUUCAUCUCUCUGCUGGAUCUUGGCCUUAACGUCCACCCCAUUCCAAUCAGUGCUCCUUUCUCCAGACAACAAGGACUUUCAAAGACGUUAAUCUAAUGAUGCUAAAACUUAAAAUUCCAUUAAAACUUGUUUUCAGUUUUCCAUUGCAUUUAAGAUCACGUCCAAUCUCCCUAACAUGGCUUUUCGUGAUCUGGUCCCCGAUUACAUUUCAAGGUUGUUCUGAAUCUUCUUUGUUCCUGUAGAAGCUCAUCUCCCCUUUCAAUUCCCUUUUUUGUUCCAGAUAUGAGAAACUUCUUUAAUUCUUUUAUAAAGUGACAUAACAUGCAAACCUAAUAUAAUAUAUUGUAAUGUCUAAAGAGGCUGACUCAGGAGGCUGUGGAAUCUACAUUUACACUAACUGAACCAUUUCAUCUGUAUGACUUCCAGGAGGUUAUUUACCUCCCUGAACCUCACUAUCUGUGUU